rnacentral:lncRNA from 1 species
ACUGUCCCGUAGGUUUCCAUUCCAACCCUGUUCCUGGAGAGCUACUGUCCUGUAGGUUUCCACUCCAACCCUGUUCCUGGAGAGCUACUGUCCUGUAGGUUUCCACUCCAACCCUGUUCCUGGAGAGCUACUGUCCUGUAGGUUUCCACUCCAACCAUGUUCCUGGAGAGCUACUGUCCUGUAGGUUUCUACUCCAACCCUGUUCCUGGAGAGUUACUGUCCUUUAGGUUUCCACUCCAACCCUGUUCCUGGAGAGCUACGGUCCUGUAGGUUUCCACUCCAACCCUGUAGGUUUCCACUCCAACCCUGUUCCUGGAGAGCUACUGUCCUGUAGGUUUCCACUCCAACCCUGUUCCUGGAGAGCUACUGUCCUGUAAGUUUCCACUCCAACCCUGUUGCUGGAGAGCUACUGUCCUGUAG